CUUGAGGGAUUGCUAUGCAACCUUUAUGAUCCUUGAGGAUACCAGAACUUGCAUCAGGUGUAACAGAAUGUAUACUCUAGUAAGCUAAGUCAUCCGAAGAUGAUGCAGCCUGCAUAGAAAGAAUAUCAGUAUCAUCAGUAUGAGUGGCUAUAUGCAGUUAAGACCUGGUCAAAAGAAACAGUACUGUAAUCUGCCCAUAAAGGAAAAGAGGCAGCUGCCCUUUUCGCCACCAAAUCUGCAAAAUCAUUACCA